UACUAAGCUCUGGUCGCUGCUUGUACCGGUACAACCAUCACCCUUGUACCGGUACAAGACGACCAGAAUGCAGUUUUGACUUCGAUUCAGCUCUACUUCGCGCCGGUUGGCGCCAAAACCAUUUUAACACUUCUCUAACUCAUUUUUCGCCCUUUCAAACUUGUCGGGCGGCAAGAGGAACUUGUCCAUCGCUUUCCUUCGACACUUUAACCAAUUUGGUUAAAGUUCGAAUAUCGUUUUCGGGUUUCGAUACGUUACAUUCUCCACCCCUUAUAUUUAGUUUCGUCCGCGAAACUAGCUUAAUUUAACUUGAAUCCCAUACCUCAGUUCAACUCAUCGAAGAGAUGAGG
rnacentral:lncRNA from 1 species